CCUUCCCGGGAGCACUUGGGGCUGAACUGUGCAGGAGACAAACAGCCAGAAAACAAUGAGGAAAAACCAAGGAAGAAGACAGCUGAACAAACUGAAAAGCAACAACUCUUCCUAGAUCCCUCAGAGAACUAAAGUCACAGGGUACCCCGUCAUCUUGAAAACUGGAGAGAUGCCAAUGCAGAGGAUGACAACUUACCAGGAGCCCAAGGCCACAGCUGGAGCCGGCACCCGUGGGAACGUGUCAACUCUGUUGCAAUUCAUAAUAGAUAUUUAAGUGGCAUUUGUUUGGAUUCUGCAUAUUGCAUACCAGAAACAACAAACAUUUGAUAAAAAGCCUGCAACAUGAAAAGAUAAAACUGAACAAAUGGGGGGAAAAAAAGGAACCUGAUAGAAACAAACAAGAACAGCAGAAAACAAAACUAACUAAUAAAUAACAUCCUUGGAAAAACAAUAGAAGAUUUGUAUCCAUAAAACAAGGAUAGGGUACUGUAAACAAAUAAACAGAGACCCACAAGAACAUUUGGAAAUUUAGAAAUAUGAAAGCUGAAAUGAAACAUUUUAAUAGAAGAGUUGGAAAGUCAAAGUUAUCUUCUCCAACAAGUAGAACAAAAAGUCAAACACAUAGAAAGUAGAACAGAAAGAAUCUGGUUGCAUGGACAUAGAGCAUCAAUCCAGGAGAUCAAGAAUCAUAGAAAAAGAAAAAAGGAAAAUGGAAGAUAGAAAAUUUCCCAGGACUGAAGGACACAGAGCCUCCAGAAAAGAUCCCUCUAAGUGUCUAGCAUCAUGAAGAGCAAAAUAUCUACAAAGAGGUAUAUCUCUGACAUUUCAGAACAUUAAGUAUAAAGAGGCAAUCUUUCAAAAAAAAGCUUUCAGAGUGACAAAACAGGUUACAAAUAAAAUAAUGAGAAUCAGAAUGCCAUAAGACCUCUCAAUACCACUGAAUAGAAGAUAAUGGAGUAAACCUUUAAAAUUACUAGACCAAACCAUGCACCAAGUGUAGGGGUAGAUUAAGGCACUCUCCUUUCUUAGAGCCUGCUAGAAGCUGGGCUGCAGCAAAUAGGGAGAGUACACCAAGGAAAAGAAUAUCCUUGGACCCAGGAGAAGGAAACCUAACAGAAGAAAACAGUUUAAUAGAGAAGCAAUUCUCAGGAUGACAGCUGUGCAGGAGAGCUUUACAGUAACCCAUCCAGACUGCAGGGGAGGGCGGAGUGCUAUGGGAGGGAGGUCUCCAAGGAAAAAGUGGAAAAGAUUAACAUGCUUGAGCAUUGUGGGGAAGAAAAAACCUACUGAGAAUAUUUGACAGAGCAGAUGGAUCACUUGGAAAAACAUUAAAUAGUCUCAUUUAACUUUUUUCAUUUUUUAAAAUA